rnacentral:rRNA from 1 species
CGAACGGGUGAGUAAUACAUCGGAACGUGCCCGAUCGUGGGGGAUAACGAGGCGAAAGCUUUGCUAAUACCGCAUACGAUCUACGGAUGAAAGCGGGGGAUCUUCGGACCUCGCGCGGACGGAGCGGCCGAUGGCAGAUUAGGUAGUUGGUGGGAUAAAAGCUUACCAAGCCGACGAUCUGUAGCUGGUCUGAGAGGGUGAUCGGCCACACUGGGACUGAGACACGGCCCAG